GUGGGGAAUCUUGCGCAAUGGGCGAAAGCCUGACGCUGCCAUGCCGCGUGAAUGAUGAAGGUCUUAGGAUUGUAAAAUUCUUUCACCGGGGACGAUAAUGACGGUACCCGGAGAAGAAGCUCCGGCUAACUUCGUGCCAGCAGCCGCGGUAAUACGAAGGGGGCUAGCGUUGCUCGGAAUUACUGGGCGUAAAGGGCGCGUAGGCGGACAGCUUAGUCAGAGGUGAAAGCCCAGGGCUCAACCUUGGAAUUGCCUUUGAUACUGGCUGUCUUGAGUUUGGGAGAGGUGAGUGGAACUCCGAGUGUAGAGGUGAAAUUCGUAGAUAUUCGGAAGAACACCAGUGGCGAAGGCGACUCACUGGCCCAAUACUGACGCUGAGGCGCGAAAGCGUGGGGAGCAAACAGGAUUAGAUACCCGGGUAGUCC
rnacentral:rRNA from 1 species